rnacentral:lncRNA from 1 species
UUAUCCUUUUUUUGGUUUUUUCUUUUCCGUAUUUUUCUUUUUCUUUUCCUAUUUUCAUUUUCUUCCUCUUUUUUCUAUUUUUAUUUCUUUUUUUUUCAUUUAUUUUUACAAUUAUAUUUCUAGCUUUUAUUUCUCUCUUUUUUCUAUUUUCACUUCUUUUUCAUUGGAUUUUUAUUUUUUGUUUUUUUUGUUUUUCUACUUUGAUUUUUUUCAUUUUUUACUCAUCUAUAUCUAGCUUUUAUUUUUUAGAAGACAACAUAUUCAAAAAAAUAUAUACAAAUUAAGAAAAACUACUCUAUUCUCAUCUUACAAAAGUGUAAAGACUGCAUUAACAUGAUCUUCCCACUAAACUUGUCAAUAGCACUUACGUGCUAGAAAAAAAAGAGUUAUCAUGUCUAAAUAUUUAUAUUAAUACUUUUUUUUUUUAAAUUGCCAUCAAUUAAUUCAAAUCAUCAAGCUCAUAACUCAUAAGAGAUCUCUUAGACGUAAAACAAAAUAAAUUCAUACAAAUCUCAAAAUACCUCCGGUCGGAUGAAUGGAGGACCGACCGACCCGGGUUUUCAAGAGCGUUGGCAGGUUCUGAAGAGCCUGUCAAGGGCACUAGCACAUUCCCCGGAGUGAUCAUCACCACCUGCACCUCACAUCUCGGCACAGUGGAACGUGUAACCCGACUGUUAUUCCAUUCAACUACAUUUGUUCCUUUAAUCCAUAGCAAUAAAGAACGCAACAGCGAGGAAGAAACCGCCCAUACAGCCAAAGGGGAGGAUGGCACAACUGGCAAAGACCGUCUGGCGAAAACGCCGCAAGCGCGAAGCGUGGUACAACAAUAGAGAAAGAUUCUAACUUCACUUGCUGCCUUUAUGCUAAAGAUCUUGCCAAUUAAUAAAUAGUUCUUUUUAAAUAAAGAUGAUAAAAACUUACAAGGUCUUGCUUAGCGCUACUAAGCACGGUUACGCCUUCCUAAGCCUUGAUAAGCCUAACCUUAUAAAGUUACGCUAAGCGCGGCUAAGCCUCAUUUAAAGGGCUAUUUUCUUAUACAAAAUCACCUUCUUAUUUUCGUAAUUCCAAAUUUUAAGCGUCAUUAAUUAAUUCUAAUCAUGGAGAUCACAACUCAUAAAAGACCCAUUAGACUUGAAAAAAAAUAAACUCAUACAGGAUCUUAGAAACUUUUCUGGUAACAAUUGUUAAUUAAUGAUUCAUCGAGUUUUAGUUAGGAAUUAAUCGGUUAUACUCCUAAUAUUCUCCAAUUCUACAAAUGAACAUGAUCAAACUUUUCUACGUCUUGCUUAUCCCUAUUAAGCACGGUUAAUCCCUGCUGAGCUUCGUCAAUCCUAGACUCACUAGGCCACAUUAAGCCAAGCUAAGCCUUGGUAAGCCUAGUAAAAAUAGAAGGCUCUAAGGUUAGGGCUCAAGGCUCAUGGGUCGGGGUUAGGCUCGGAGUUGGAGGCGCAAGAUUCAUAGAGACUCAGGGGUUUAGGUUUUUGAUUUCGGGUUUAGAAUUAAGUUUUAUUAGGGUUCUGAGUUUGUGUCCCGCCGUAUAAUACUUUUAUGUUACAGUCUAUCUCGAAAGAAGAGGUGUUAUAUUAAACUAGGGGACCCUAUACUCUACAUCACAUUAAAAAAUCACCUAACCUCAUCACUAUAAUCCAACAACCUCAAGUCUUAAUUCAAAGAAUAUUAACCACAUGACACAUUGGUUUGUGGUUUCAUCAAUCACAAAAUUCAAGCCUACCACUACUAUACCCUACUUCAUGGAUCUCUCCACUAAGACCAACAAAUUCAAUCAUUCUCGCAAAGAUUCUCGCCAUAUACUUCCCUCCUAACUAUUUCACGUAAAGAAUAUUCAUCUCCUUCCUCCUCCUGCCCCUUUAACCUUAGCUCAAGAAAUCUCAUAAAAAAAUUUCACCUACAACAACAUCUACUCCCUAAACUAACACAUUUCUACGCUUCCACAACCAUCAUCAUACUAACAUACAAAGGGUAAUUAAAGGACCUGAGCACAAUCAUCAUGAAAAAGAGUAGCAGUGUUCAGUUAUAACAUAUACUUAUUACACUAUUCAAGGUGGGACAUGAGUUAAAGAUAUGAUACAAUCACGGAGUAUUUCAUAUAUCAAGUGUAUGAUUCACAAGUGGAGAGUGGUUCUGGCAUAAGCUCAGCGUAACUCGAGUUCUUAGGACAACCACAGUGAGAAACAUGAGAGCUUACAUCACGAGUCUUAUAACAAGUGUGGAAUUCCUGAAGACGAUGAUUUAGAAAAGGACUUCUACUCGAAGCUAUAACUUCUCAUUUUUAGAGCUGAAAUAGUCAUGAGUUCGUACAACUUUAUCAUUUUGGCUAACCCCGACAUAAAAUGAAUCAUUAACAUACGAAACAUAGUUCCUUAAAACCAAGUAUGAUUUUGGACACAAAUUUAUGGAUCAUGUACCUCAUAACAUAGAGUUUGGAUACUUGAAAUAUAGGAUCACUGAGUGACAUUAUUGCUUCUAAUUUGAGGUCGGAACAUGACAUGAGUUUCAUAGAGUGCUCAAACCUCAAACAUAGGCCGAACUUAACUACAUAAAACAUUGGUAGGUGUUAAUUCAAACCGAAGGAGGAGGAGCUUGCUUGAAUAUGAAUUGAUUUAUCAAGCCUCUUACAAGAAACUUAACACCACAAGAAAAUUUGGGAACUACUUUAAUCUAUCAUCUCCCCCAUAGAUAAAAGUUACAUUUGUAAAUUUGUCGUCAUAUCUUCACAUCAAAAUCUAUAGCCACAACUCUCAAAAAGAUAUCUCACCAUACACAUAAGCGCUAAACUCUCUGAUAAACUAUACUCUGAAGGCCUCGCUUUUCGAAAGUGCUACUCUAUAGCCAUCACUCUACAACUCCCACUCUCAUGAGCAUACGCCUCCACACUCCAUAUCAUAAAGGGGUCCCAGAAUACAUAUGAACACAAACUCCCCUCCAUAAAUUUUUUUAUACAAAGACACUAAUUCAUUCUCGGACAUCCCUUUCAGGUACACUAAUCGUAACAUCCUAAAACACCCAAAGUCAUCUAUUUAUGGCUAACGUUAGUCCAUCCACGCUUCUAGACACACACAACACUUCAUCUUCAACUGCUUAGAAUACUUUGCAUUAUACCUCUAAUCAUGUAACUUGCAACUUAGCAUUAUACCCAUAUUUCCUCAAUUCAACUCUAAAUAACGCUAUACAACAACUCCUCAGACUUCUUCAUACCACAAGAUUCGAGAAUGAAAUAUAAAUACACGUGACACUCAUACACAUCACCCUUUAUCUAAUAACUUGCUACCUUGGGGUUCAACUUAUUCAUUUAUACUUAGGAUCUUAUCCACUUAAUGACUCAACCACAAUUCAUCAUUUUUGUAUACUAAUCCUCAUGUACAUAAAUAUCACAGUUAUCCAAUCUUUUUUCCAUAAGUUGCCAACCUAAGUUAUUUCACACCUCACAUCAAGCCUACUAAUUCAUUCCCACAAAUCAUGCAUUAAGAAUCUUGAGCUGUAAUUCUUAUUACUACAGUCCACAUCUAAAGUUCAAGCCUAUUGUCUAACAACACCAAUCAUAUGAUACAUGUCACAUACUAUACUAAUCAAUCGAAUAGAAAUAUCAACACAAGUCUCAUAUUUCACUAGUCUAUGGCCCAUAAGUCAAUCCUCUCCACGACAUUACCACUAAACCUCCAAAUCUACUACAUACCUUCUCACACGUACUACGAAUUUACAACUACUAAAGAAAAGACAAAUCAAGGGGGAGGAAGGGGGGGUAAGAUCACAUAAUGAAGGUAGUAGAUCUUAAUCUUAUAUCAUAACCCAUUACGAUCUUAUCAACAUAUUCUAUUUUCUCACAUCAUAGUUUCCUAUACAUGCAUGCAUUACAACUAACUUCAAAAUUCCAUAUACAACAAUGAGUCUAUACUCGUAACUUAUUGGCUAAUCUCACCAUUUCCAAUCACAGUCUAUAUGUGAUUUCCAUAACCACCAUAACUAUCCACUCUAGGCUCUAUCCAUAUUCAGAAUAGAUAAUAAUAAUAGCCAAACACUUCCUCCAAAAACUACCAUACGAUCUACUAAUGCUGCUACCACACUAGUCUAUCACAAUAAAAUGACAAAUCAUCCCUGUAUCAACGGUUAUACAAGUAAAACUAUUUAUUUACUCAAAAAUCACACUCUGACUUCUAACCUUGUGACUUCAUAUCACCAACGUCUUGCCCCAACCUCACUACUAAUAGGUCAUGACACUUUAACAUAUACUACUACUCGGGUGAAAAUACGGUUCUAACAUUCUUCUAUACAUCAUUACCCUUAUACAUGACAUUUGCAACAAGAAUUUUAAUAGAGACUGGAUACACUUAAUACAUUGGGCUGAAAAGCACGAUUUCAUCAGGAUCAAAGUUUACACUAAAACCAAUACACCUUUAAGCACGAACGGACUCCUCUCAAGUCCGUAGGCAAUUUCAUAACCUUUUACGAUUCAAUUAGAAGGGACAACCUCAUCUAGGUUCUAAGAAUUACCAUAGAAGGAAAUUCAAAUUACGCCACAAUGCUUUACAGAAAUAACU